AUCAAUCCGUGGAACUUAUAGUACAAGAUCUAUUUCAACUAGCAUUGUUAAUAUUAACUUAGUGUUUAUGAGAGAUUCAGUUCCAAUCUACUAAGCAUAUACAGACAGAUAACAGAUAGAGUCGAGAUAAUCAAUUUAGAGUAAUCUAGACUAUACAUAUGUUGUAAUCUGAGCAUGGAUAGAAAAGCAACACAGAUAUGAUCUUAGUAAAAAGCAUAUUUAAAUCUACACCUCCGGUCCGGCUCCCGAAACCUCCCCACAGAUCCUAUCACGAUCACCUCUAUCAGCGCAAGCAAGUUAAGGACACGAUCAAAAGAACAUGUUAUACUCAUUGGUAGAUCAGGCAUGCAAAUCCGGUCACCACGACCACAAGAACACCCUAAGCAAUCUAUCAUCGAUUCAUAGGUUGAAAAGUAAGCAAACCCGAAAGAGCAUAAAACCAUAUAAGGAAAUACUUAGAUCGUUAAGAACAUGAACACAUCUAUUACUUCAUCAUGAAUGAUUGUACAUCACAAGAUCAC
rnacentral:lncRNA from 1 species